UUGUAAAAAAAGCCCACCGCAAUGCCAUAAAACGUCACACUUUUUCACUAACAAAAUUAGCCCUUCCACCCGCGCCCCCGAGAUACUACUAGCUCAAUCGACGUAUUCACUUUCCUCAAACCCAUUCGGUCCCCAAAUACUUUCCGAGUACGAACGAAGCUUUCGAAACGGAAAACAGCCCAAAAAGAAUUAUCCUAUAUAGCACUAUUGGAUCCCACUGAUAUUACGAGUGUACAGUGCUUGAGAGUAUUAUUAUUAAAUGCAACGGAAAAAUUCGAUUUUCUGGACCACCGAGUACUUUGACGCUGGGUACUUCUAAAGUCAAAGUAUCGUUAAUAAUGCUACGGCCAGAAAACAUUGUACGGCGCCAAUAGACAAUGAGGCGUAUGAGAAUUCGGUUUUGUGUAUAAAAACGAGGUUCGUUCGAUUUCAGAAAUUUUUCAAAAAUCUAUGAAAAAUAAGCGGGCACUCAAUAAGUCUAUAUAAUUUUUUUUUUUUUUUCGCUUUUAUCAUAAAACCUAUUCUCGUAUCCUCUGACUCCCAUUAAUCUUUCUAUGAUUUUACGAGAGUAUAUGCAAGCACACGAUUGUCACACUGAUUGAUAAUUUAAAAUAUCAGAUACACAUCAUGGUCAAAGUACAGUCAAGACAAUGUUAUUAUAAUCAUUAUUACCACACACACAAAAAAACAAAGAUGGCGUCGAUCGGGCGAAACCAUUAUAUAAAAUGUUAUAAUCGAAUGUAUUUUUUUUGCGAGUGCAUGUGUUUGUGUUUUUUUUUUUCAUAUACAUAUAUAUGAAAUACUUUUUGACAAUAAUUGGCAAUCGAGAUAAAUAAAUGUUCUGGACCCUUUCUUCCGGCAUGCUGUCAACCGGAACUGAUAAUUCAAGGCAAUGCAAAAAGGUGAAAGUAAAAAGAAAGUACGAUUGAACGUAAUAUAAAAGAAGAGUACAGAACAAGUAGAAAAUCGAAUGUAUAGACAUUUACAGGCUGUACAAGUACGACAGGAGUAGCGUUAUAUUGGAAUAAUAAUAAUAGUAGGUGGUAUAGAGUACACAGUGUAUGAAACCGGAAUUGAAAGUGGUAGUAUAUGUGCUUGUGCAUGGAGACAGCCAAAAUCAAAAGCAAAGCAACGAAGCAAAUCAACAAGACAGCAAAAAUGGAUCGACGAAAAUAUUUGUUCAGACAAUUUGGAGUUUGGUGAAAGAUGAUAGAGCAAUACUGAGAUAGGAUGUGAGGGAAUGGCUUAAAAGAUAAAGAGAGAGGAGAGAGAGAGAGAGAGAGAGAAGCGUGAAGAGACGAAGUGAACGAGUAAAAAGUAGAGAGCAAGCAAAUACAGUAUG